AUUCACCCGGCCGGGGCCUGCUCCCCGCCCCCUCCUCAGCCUGCCCAGCUCGGGGCCCAGGGCUCCGUGGGGGAAGGGGGUCGUGGCUGCUUUAAAGCACGUGUUCCGAGCCGCGGUGAACCCCAGUGCCCACCCAUAGGAGCAAAAGGGAAGCGCCUAGAAGAGCCAAGUGCACUUGGAAAAGUGGAGAAAUAAACCAAAUAGCAGCCGGCACCCAGAAUUAGGUCAGGCCCAGGGGAAGGGAGGUUCAGGUGUCGGGAAUCGUGGAGGCAAACAACCCAACCGGGAGAAAGUUACCUGUUAAAUUAGGGGAAAGAAACGGACCUGGGCAGCAGACAGCGGGAAGACUAAGAAAUGGCACUCGUGAACCAGAGGUUUAUGCAAAAAUGCCCUACACCCACCCAGCAAAAUAUGUGCAAAGAAACGACUCCCUGAAAGGGUCUUGGGGAUCCCCCUCCCAGGCUUCCUCAGAUUACACUUUGAGAACCACUGGUCUGCACCUGUCUUGGUACUGUGUCCCCCUUGUCAAUGACUGGUUUAGGAGCUGAGCUUGUAACCUAAUACUGGGAGCAAGACAUGUUUGGAGCUGUGGUGGCACAUCCUGCAUCAAUGAGAGGAAAGCGGGAAAAGCAAUACGGGAAAGGCAAUCCGGAACCCAGACGUCACUGAAUGGCUAAAUUACCCUACCCUGGCUUUGCAUACCUCCAGACUGCUCAGGCAAAGUUCUUUUCCUGCGUUCUCAGUGAAGAAGAAAUCUGGAGGCUUGGUUCCUGAUGGAUUUUAUUUCCUGCUUUGUAAACCUCUGUCGACGUCAUCAAAUAAUUGCUCGAAUUGAAAUAUAGUGGAAAAGAAUCCUCUAUAUAUUGGGUAAACACCCACAUAAAAUUUCAGAUUUGAAAAACUUUGAUGUCAGUUAAAAUAUGGUAUUGAUUUAAAGUUACAGCUUAAGGCUGAAAAUCAUAUGUGAAUCUGCCUGUCCCUUUAAAAAGAAAAGCGAUUAUGUUCUGGUUGCUGAGCUCUCUUGGAUUUAUUUUAUCUUAGCAGCUGUUCCUGAAGUCGAUGUUAUUCAAAUGAGGGUUUUCAAGCUCUUUGUUGUGUUCUUCAACUUAUGGUAUAUGCUAUCAAACGUAAAACCCAAAUUUAGAAUGCGGUGGGGGUGGGGACAAUUAGAAAUACCGAGAAAUAAAAUAAUAUUGGAAAAAACCCUUUAGUUUUCAUUUAACGAAGAUAAAACUGUUAAACAUGAUCUUCCUGAAGCCCCAGUAACAGAAGCAAGACAAAACCCUGGAACCUCCAAGCACCAAAAGUUGGAUGAUAUAUUUAGUAAUAAGUGCAUGUGUAGGGCGGAGGGGAGGUGUCCCAGAUGGAAAUAAUGGAACUUCCUGUGGUUAUAGAAGAUGAGGAAAGAACACACCAAAUACUUUUCUUGCCACUCUGGAAAGAAGCAUAUUAUAAAUUUUGCGUAACAUAGGCUACCGUUUGAUCUAGAAAGAAUAACUUUACAACUCAUACACCUUCUACUUCCUUUAUUUUCAUUUCACUUGUUUUCCAAGAGGCAGCAUAGCACAAUUGUUAAGAUUGCAAACCCUGGGCAAGAAUAUUGGCUCUGCCACAUAUCGGCUGUGGAAACUUGUACUUUUCCUUUAAUUGACACAGUAAACCAGUUUGCUUCAGUAAUAGCAAAGUAUAUAUCAAACUUUAAUUUAGUUAGGAGUUAUCAUCCUCAUUUUCAUGUCAUAUAUAAUCAUUUCCUAGUAUUGAUGUUAAUCAUUUAUUGAGUGAUUACUACUUGUCGAGUGCUGUUCGAAGUGCUUUACAUAUUAAUUCAUUUAAUCCUCACAGCAACCCUAGGAGGGAGGUAUCAUUAUUGCCUAUAUUUCCAGAUUAGGAAUUAAGCAGGGAGAGGUUAAAUAAUUUGCCUAUUGUUUAACCUAGAGGUUAAGUAAUUUACACACAGCCAGUAAAUUUCAGAGCUGAGGUUUACAGAGCUCUUCUCUUAACCACCCUGUCAUUACCAAUCUGUUUAAGACUGCCUUAAUCUCUGUGGCUCUCCAAUCAUUUUUGUUCAAACACUUGCUGAUUAGUGAAUAGAAAUCUUCAAACUAGGAUAACCACCUCUGCCCAUGUACGUGAAAACUCUCCAAGUGGAGCAGAGGAUGGAUAGCUUUAAGAGCAUCAAUUCCACAUCCUCCACUUUCAUUUCCACACUUUCCUAAAACUUCUCUGCCUGGAACAUGCUUGUGGGCUCUUUUCCACCCCCUUUUCACAACUGCCAUUUUUCCACUUAACAAAAGAAAGUCAUUCUCACAGAUGCCACAUCUUACUAUGGCGCAUUGACCCUAGGUGCACAAAACAGAAAAUUAGAAGCCUGUGUUAGUGUUGAGAAAGAGAAUAACUAUGAUGACUGGGAACAAAGCUGUCACUUGAUAGAGCCUUAAAAAUAAUUUAAAUGACAGAUCAUCACAUGAUUUUAUCAUCACAUGAUAAUUAAAAGUUCAAGGAAUUGAGUAACCACUACAACCAGUUCCUCACAUUCCCAUCUACUUAUUUCUGUGAACAAAGUACUCAGCAUUUAUAUCUACAAGAACAGUGUCAAAUGCAUGAAUAGAAUCGAGGCGGAACUCAGUCUCAUUCUAGCUAUAAAUAAUAUUCAUCCACAAAUCCACUGGACAAGAAAAAGCCCCUUCCAUUUCUUUAAAAGAUGCAUUUUCAAUAAAAUCUUAUUUUUUAUGUUUAAAAAUAGUUAUCAAUUUGUAAUAUAGCCACUGUUUGAUCAAUUGUGUACUACUAAUCAUUUUAGUGAUAACUCCACUCAGAGACAUUUUUAACACCUAGAAGCUUAUAGUCACAGGAAAGUAAAAUUAUGUAAAUAUGUAGUUAUAAUGUCUGUUGUAAAGAAUGAUGUAAUGAUCAAUAAAAAUUUU